rnacentral:rRNA from 1 species
UCGCCUGUUUUAUCAAAAACAUGUCUUAGUGAAAAUAAUUUUAAGUCUGAUCUGCUCCAUGAUUAAUUUUAAAUAGCUGCAGAAUUCUAACUGUACAAAGGUAGCAAAAUCAUUAGUUUUUUAAUUAAAAGCUGGAAUGAAAGAUUUGAUAAGGUGAAAGUUGUCUCAAAUUUAAUGGUAUUAAAAUUUUUUGUUUAGUAAAAAUACUAAAAUGGAAUUAAAAGACGAGAAGACCCUAUAGAUUUUUAUAUUUUAAAUUAAAUUAAAUUAAAAAGUUAAAAUGAAAUUUAAUUGCAAAAUAUUAGGUUGGGGAAAUUAUUAAAUUUAAAAAAUUUUAAUUAAAUUAAAACAUUAAUUUAUGAUAAAUUGAUCUUAAAUUUUAAAUCAUGAGAAUAAAAUACCUUAGGGAUAACAGCGUAAUUUUUUUGGAGAGCUCUUAUUGAUAAAAAAGAUUGCGACCUCGAUGUUGAAUUAAGAUAAAAUUUUAAUGAAGAAGUUAAUAAUUUUUGGUCUGUUCGACCAUUAAAAUCUUACGUGAUCUGAGUUCAGACCGGA